rnacentral:rRNA from 1 species
UACGUAGGGGGCAAGCGUUGUCCGGAUUUAUUGGGCGUAAAGAGCGUGUAGGCGGUUUGGUAGGUCCGUUGUGAAAACUCGAGGCUCAACCUCGAGACGCCGGCGGAAACCAUCAGGCUAGAGUCCGGAAGAGGAGAGUGGAAUUCCUGGUGUAGCGGUGAAAUGCGCAGAUAUCAGGAAGAACACCCGUGGCGAAAGCGGCUCUCUGGGACGGUACUGACGCUGAGACGCGAAAGCGUGGGGAGCAAACAGG